UCACCACCAAACCCACCCUGA
rnacentral:siRNA from 1 species